GGAUGUGAAGGCAAUCUGGCUGCAACAUCUGUCACCCCACUGAUUGCCAGGUUUGAUUCGGCUGAUCCAGCCAGCUAGGUGGGUGUCCCCUUCCUCCUGCACUGCUCCAUGUGUGUUCCUCCUGAAGCUGUGCAAUCAGCUAAGAGGAUGACCUUCUUUGAUAGGGGAGGACAGUAUAGGAGUAGCUGUGCUCCCUGCUAGAACGUCCAAAUGAACUCUUCAGUUCCAUUGGUAGGAGAAUGAAGGGUAGUCAAGCUUCCAAGACUUCAGACACAACCAAAUGAGGCACUGCAUGUGGCAGUCUGCCUUUCUUA
rnacentral:snRNA from 2 species